rnacentral:piRNA from 1 species
UACAGCACACUGAUGGGUCUUGACUC